UUGUCUUCUCAUAUAGCUCCAUGUCUGUCUCUCUCUGUCUCUGUCUCUCUCUCUCAUUCCUACUCUCUUUCCACGAACACCACUCCCUCUCCGCGCUUCUUCGAUUUCAUGAAAAAGGAGAGUUGCCAAGUACAAGAACAAGGCCGAGUUCAGGUUCCACUCCGCUCUCGCCUACGCCCCUCCGCCUUCUUCGAUGCAGAUUUGAUUCAGGUUUGGGUUCAAUUAAGGAGUUGGCUGGCUUAAGUUCCUCCUCAGUGCAGCCCCUGGUUGUGUCUUCGCCGGAGGAAACCCGAAUGUCGUUGUUGUCGGAUAAUAGACUUGCAAAAAGUUUAGAAAACCGUCAGAGUGCUAGAAGUGUAACAGAGCCAUGGCAUCCCAAAUAAUAAGAGUUUGAGGCUAAUGAUUGUCUCAAGUCUGCAAAUCAAGAUUUCUUCCCAAAAACAUCACAGAGGAGCUACCUUAGGACUGUUCUAUGUGUUCCUGAUUCAAAUCCGAAUAUUAAUGAUGGCACUGCAAGUCAUGCUAGUGAUGGUUUUGGAAGGCAAAUGAAUUCUGGAUCCCUUUCUGAUUUCUCAAAAGUUCCUUCACAUGAAUGUACUCUAAACAAAGUCUGCUCUUUCAAGGUGCAAGGAGAAGAAGAAAACAAGGAGAUAUAAUCAAAUCAUGAGUGGGACUUCAAGGUUUGUACUGAGAGGUGGACAAGAUUUUAUAACAUUUUGCAAAGUCACGGAGGCACUGGUAUGAAGUCCUACCAAAGUGUUUAUUAUAAUUAGUGUAGUUACUAAUCUUGUAUAUUCAAUAGCUUUUGAAGCUAUAGCUUCGAUAUUUUUUUAGUUACACAUAAACACAUAUAUUAUUGAACAUAUCCACAUAUUAUUAUGGACUGCUGUUAGCCCCUUAGUGCCGCGGACGCCUAGGCAUGGCAUUAGCUUUGGGCCAUGUCGAGGCAAGACACGCACAUGCUAGUUGGGAGCAUGUGCAAGCAUAAACGCAAGGCAAAUGGGAAGCCUCGCUAAGCACUGACGGAGGUGUCAGCAGGCAAGGAGGUUGGCGGCAAGCAGGUGCGCAGCUGCCUGUGAGCGAUUGGUAGCAAGCAAGGGUGCAGCUGGCAGCAAGUGUGAACAAAUGUGAACAUGUGUGAACAAAUGCGAACAAGUGUGAACACAAGCUUGCAACAAGUGUAGGCGUAGCUGGCAGCAAGCAAUUGGCAGCAACUUGUGGGCACAAAGCUGGCAGCAACUUGGCAGCAGCUUGGCCACAAGUUGGGCUGCAAGAUGGCAUCAACUUGGCCACAACUUGGCAACAACUUGGCCACAAGUUGAGACACCAAGUUGGCAGCAAGUUGCAGCCAUGUGAGUCGUGACACAUGGCUCGCAACUAGAAGCUGCCAAGCACAUUGUUGUGCUAUAUAAACCCAACCCAUGGGGUUGUCAUGGGGUUAGAAUCUUGGGGAGAGAGCUAGGCAGAUUGAGUGUGGGAUCACUAAGGCUGAAAGCCCUCGAGAUAGUUGCUAGGCAGAUUGGGCAAGUGUGUUUGCCAAGGCUGAAAGCACUAUCGUACUCUUGUAAUCCUUUAGUUGAGUUAAAGGUUGGAAAGAAGGCUUUCCGUAAACACGGUGUGUCGAUUGUGUGUGUGCAUGCUUUGUAUACUCGUUGCUAUUUACUUGAUAGUUCCGCUGCGUACUUAAGCAAGUGAGUGAGAGAGGUAGGCUGGUCGAGUAGGGCAAGCUACUCGACGCCAUCACAAGGAAAAAAGUUUAGGGUAAAACUAUACCCGCGGGUCCUGCGUGACAACUGCUUUGGUUAGAUAUUUGUUGGGAGGGUUUGAAGCCAAUAGAUGUUGCAUCUGCAAGUAGGAACCGAAGAGUUGUAGAGAUCUUACAUUUAUCUGUUUUGGUAUUUAGUAUGCUUUUGGCCUUUAGGUGUAUAUAUAGGCAUGGUUAAUGUACAUUGGACACAUUUAUCGACAAGUUUAUUUUUUGGCUUUUAAGUAAAUAGGCAGGGUUAGUAUGUGUUAAUAUUGGGAUGAACCUACUGCUUGUGGAAUAUUAUAGAUCUUGUUGGAAUCAAUGGAAACCUUUGGUAUCAA